GACGUAGGGCGCGAGCGUUGUCCGGAUUUAUUGGGCGUAAAGAGCUCGUAGGCGGUUUUGUCGCGUCUGCUGUGAAAACCUAAGGCUCAACCUUGGGCUUGCAGUGGGUACGGGCAGACUAGAGUGCGGUAGGGGGUGACUGGAAUUCCUGGUGUAGCGGUGGAAUGCGCAGAUAUCAGGAGGAACACCGAUGGCGAAGGCAGGUCACUGGGCCGCAACUGACGCUGAGGAGCGAAAGCAUGGGGAGCGAACAGG
rnacentral:rRNA from 1 species